UGGGGAAUAUUGCACAAUGGGCGAAAGCCUGAUGCAGCAACGCCGCGUGAGUGAUGAAGGCCUUCGGGUUGUAAAGCUCUGUCUUUUGGGACGAUAAUGACGGUACCAAAGGAGGAAGCCACGGCUAACUACGUGCCAGCAGCCGCGGUAAUACGUAGGUGGCAAGCGUUGUCCGGAUUUACUGGGCGUAAAGGAUGCGUAGGCGGAUUUUUAAGUGAGAUGUGAAAACCCUAAGCUUAACUUGGGGACUGCAUUUCAUACUGGAAAUCUAGAGUGCGGGAGAGGAGAAUGGAAUUCCUAGUGUAGCGGUGAAAUGCGUAGAGAUUAGGAAGAACACCAGUGGCGAAGGCGAUUCUCUGGACCGUAACUGACGCUGAGGCAUGAAAGCGUGGGUAGCAAACAGGAUUAGAUACCCCUGGUAGUCCACGCCGUAAACGAUGAGUACUAGGUGUAGGAGGUAUCGACCCCUUCUGUGUCGCAGUUAACACAAUAAGUACUCCGCCUGGGAAGUACGAUCGCAAGAUUAAAACUCAAAUGAAUUGACGGGGUCAUAGCU
rnacentral:rRNA from 1 species